AGUGAACGCUGGCGGUAGGCCUAACACAUGCAAGUCGAACGGCAGCACAGUAAGAGCUUGCUCUUACGGGUGGCGAGUGGCGGACGGGUGAGGAAUACAUCGGAAUCUACUUUUUCGUGGGGGAUAACGUAGGGAAACUUACGCUAAUACCGCAUACGACCUACGGGUGAAAGCAGGGGAUCUUCGGACCUUGCGCGGUUGAAUGAGCCGAUGUCGGAUUAGCUAGUUGGCGGGGGAAAGGCCCACCAAGGCGACGAUCCGUAGCUGGUCUGAGAGGAUGGUCAGCCACACUGGAACUGAGACACGGUCCAGACUCCUACGGGAGGCAGCAGUGGGGAAUAUUGGACAAUGGGCGCAAGCCUGAUCCAGCCAUACCGCGUGGGUGAAGAAGGCCUUCGGGUUGUAAAGCCCUUUUGUUGGGAAAGAAAAGCAGCAGGUUAAUACCCCGCUGUUCUGACGGUACCCAAAGAAUAAGCACCGGCUAACUUCGUG
rnacentral:rRNA from 1 species